CCUACGGGAGGCAGCAGUGAGGAAUAUUGGUCAAUGGGCGAGAGCCUGAACCAGCCAAGUCGCGUGAGGGAGUACUGCCCUAUGGGUUGUAAACCUCUUUUGUCGGGGAGCAAAAGCCGGACGUGUCCGGCUGUGAGAGUACCCGAAGAAAAAGCAUCGGCUAACUCCGUGCCAGCAGCCGCGGUAAUACGGAGGAUUCGAGCGUUAUCCGGAUUUAUUGGGUUUAAAGGGUGCGUAGGCUGUUGGAUAAGUUAGAGGUCAAAUGUCGGGGCUUAACCCCGUGCCUGCCUCUGAUACUGUUCGACUAGAGAGCGGAUGCAGCAGGCGGAAUGAGUAGUGUAGCGGUGAAAUGCUUAGAGAUCAUACAGAACACCGAUUGCGAAGGCAGCUUACCAAGCUACUUCUGACGUUGAGGCACGAAAGCGUGGGGAGCAAACAGGAUUAGAUACCCGGGUAGUC
rnacentral:rRNA from 1 species